GAGGAGCAAGCCAACGCUAAUCUGGGCAAAUUCCGGAAGCUUCAGCACGAGCUGGAUGAGGCCGAGGAGAGAGCCGACAUUGCGGAGUCUCAGGUCAACAAGAUGCGAGCCAAAAGCCGGGAUACUGGCUCCAAGAAAGGACAUGAUGAAGAGUGAAGCGCUCCAAUGAACUUCUCUGCCGAAGCUCUCACAGCGUCUGGCUACUCUGUUUCAUCAUCACUCCUUAUUUAUUAAUAAUCAGUAGAAUAAAUGCAAUUAAGACA